rnacentral:rRNA from 1 species
AUUGAACGCUGGCGGCAGGCCUAACACAUGCAAGUCGAGCGGAGCGGCGGACGGGUGAGUAAUGCCUAGGAAUCUGCCUGGUAGUGGGGGAUAACGUCCGGAAACGGGCGCUAAUACCGCAUACUAUCAGAUGAGCCUAGGUCGGAUUAGCUAGUUGGUGGGGUAAAGGCCUACCAAGGCGACGAUCCGUAACUGGUCUGAGAGGAUGAUCAGUCAAACUGGAACUUGGGCACGGUUCAGACCCCCACGGGUGGCCGCAGUUGGGAAUAUUUGGCAAUUGGGGGAAACCUGGUCCAACCCUGCCGCGUGUGUGAAGAAUGUCUUUGGAUUGUAAAGCACUUUAAGUUGGGAGGCGUUACCAACAGAAUAAGCACCGGCUAACUUCGUGCCAGCAGCCGCGGUAAUUC